GCCAAUCUCCUUACCCAUCCCAAACUGGGUCGCCCCAACCCAACACUCUACAAUCCUAACCCUACAAAAACAUAGACCCCUAAUACAAAAUAAGCAGAAAAUACACAAAACUUUGGGAGCAAAAAAACUGAAGGGCGCCGUUUGGACUGAGGCUAUGAGAGACAAGACCUAUGAAACUCCCCUAGGUCGCCUUCUUCAUGUAGCAGCACCGCAGACAAUAAACAGACUCCCAUGAUUUAGCUUUUCCAUCGUCUUCUUCACGGAGACAGCAAGAAAACUCCAUUAAAACACUCCGCCAUCGCCGACCAGACAUGACACCCUAGCCUUCAUCAUUUUCAGCCGCUAAACACCAUAGAACAUGACCUUCCAUGUUUUCUUCUUGACAAAUAGAAACCACAGAAGAACUCCCCCCUUAAUCGAGCAGCUUCAGCCUUCCCUCACGUAAAAAAUGACCACCCUUUUACAUGUCUUUCUUCCGUUUUCUCUAGCCAUUUCCACCAUAAAACAACCACAACACACACACAAAAAAAACAGGAAGGGAGAGGAUACAGAGAAGGAAGGGAUGGGGGCGAACGCAGUGAUAAAACGUGAGAAAGGAUAAGAACAUUCCAAUAUAUAAAAGAUUCGAAGCACGAUUAUUCAAAUUAGUGUUUGAGUUUUGAGUUCGCCGAAGGUCAUAGUCUGAGGUUGUCUGAUAGAUUCGAGGUCGCCGGAGGUAUCGAGGCACUGUCCAUUCGUUCUCAGGUUCGACUUUCGUCUAGGAUCUAUCGUUUGAAGUCAAUUUCCUCUAGCAUUUUAUUAAUUAAUGCCAAUUGUUGUAUAAUCUUCGUUGUUGCAAUAGGGAUAAAAUCAGAAUUUUGGUGAUACAACCACUUUCAAUUUCUCUGUUUAAAUGAUUUGACGGACUUGGGUGUUCAUAUCGCAUUGAUUGUUAUUGAAAUGAGUUUUGGGAUUCAAAUUUCUGUAUCUAGCAUGCGCAAUCCGACUUGGUCUAUCAUUUCUCUAUUUACUCGACAUACAUUUUUUUAAUUUUGUGAAUGUUGUUCUAUUGCUUGGUUAUUAAGAAGUGAACUUUUUUGGUGAAUAGAUCAUGGGUAAGAGGGAAGGCCUUUGUGCUGAUACCAGUAAUAUG
rnacentral:lncRNA from 1 species